UGUCAGCAUUAUUUCAUCUGGUUAUGAAAGGGCUGCAAAAAUCUUUUACGACUUGGCCAUUGAGGCAAACAAGAGAGGCGAUUAUUUCCCCGUGUGGGGAACCUGUCUUGGAUUCGAGCAGCUGGCCUACUUGACGAGCGGAGAGUCACUACUCUCACACACAAACACAAGCGGCGUGGCGUUACCUCUGACCUUCACUAAUGAAGCCAAAGGCAGCAGGAUGUUUAAAGGCUUCCCAGCUGAACUCAUGAAGGAUCUGUCUUCGCAGCCGCUGACAGAAAACUCUCACAAGUGGAGUCUGGCAGUGUUGGUACGUAAAAAGAGUUCAUUCACUUGCAGUACUUCUAGAUUAAACACAAGCCUU